CAAGUCUCCCCCACAGGCUGUGAACACACAGACAAGCGUUCAGGAAAGGCAGAGAGGAAGGACCUGAAGAUGGCAGAGCUGUCUGUGUCUCCCUACAGGACUGAGGAAAUCCAGCUAGAUUACAAAAACAACAUUUUGAAGGAGAGGGCAGAGCUGGCUCACAGUCCCCUGUCUACCAAGAAUAUCGACUUGGACAAAGAGCUCAGGAAGGAGUACUGCAAAUAAAGCGACCCCGGCUACUGGCUGGACCAGCAGCCCUGCCUCCACGGAUGCCUGCCCACCCUCUGGAGGCCCUCCCUGGUCCCUCCCAGCGGCUGGUCCCGCUUGUCCUGGAGCUGGGCCUCAAUUGGUAGGGCUGUUGUCUACACUUAGUUCUUCCAGGAUCCAUCUUCGUCUUCCAGAGCAACUGUGGGCUUCCUUGGACUCUGCCACAGCGUGGCUCCUGCCUUUGGGCCACACUUUCCCAACCAUGGCCUUGCCCCAGUUCUGCCCAAGCUGUCAUCCUGAUGAUGUCCAGGAAGCCCUUAGGCCCUCCAGAUCUCUGCUCCCUAGAGGCAGGAAGCCACUCAGAGGGUCAGGCAGGACUGGAAUCCUGGACUCGGUCCCAGUCCCCCACCUCCCUUCUGCUGGGAGACCCCAGGGGCUGUCCACUGUGCACAAGCCAGAGGCAGGACCAGCUGCCCUCUGUCCCGUGCACUGGGGACUCGUAGGUCUUCCGAGGUGGCAGGGGCCGCCUUUCCCUUUCUCUGCUUUUAGCACCUUUUGCAGCAAAUUUUCCUGGAGCUUUCCCCACACUCACUGAACUAACUCUACCUGACUUUUGGCCCUGACUCCUCCUAUCCCUGGAUGGAAUCAUUUGGCCAAACAGAUUUGGCUGAGGAGGUGGGAGGUGCUCUGGAAGGUUCUUGGUGGCCUGUGUUCUGUGCUCCCACCCAUGAUGGGCAAUCCACACUCGCUCCUGCUGUGAGCGCUGACACAUCACAAUAAAGGACAUAUCUGGUUGUACACUU